UCCCUGGUGGCUCAGAUGGUAAAGAAUCUGUCUGCAAUACAGGAGACCCAGGUUUGAUCCCUGGGUUGGGAA
rnacentral:tRNA from 1 species